AUUGAACGCUGGCGGCAGGCCUAACACAUGCAAGUCGAGCGAGAAAGGUCUUCGGACUGAGUACAGCGGCGGACGGGUGAGUAAAGCGUAGGAAUCUACCUGGUAGUGGGGGAUAACUUGGGGAAACUCAAACUAAUACCGCAUACGCCCUACGGGGAAAGCGGGGGACCGUUCGGGCCUCGCGCUAUCAGAUGAGCCUGCGUAGGAUUAGCUAGUUGGUGAGGUAAAGGCUCACCAAGGCGACGAUCCUUAGCUGGUCUGAGAGGAUGAUCAGCCACACUGGGACUGAGACACGGCCCAGACUCCUACGGGAGGCAGCAGUGGGGAAUAUUGCGCAAUGGGCGAAAGCCUGACGCAGCCAUGCCGCGUGUGUGAAGAAGGCCUUAGGGUUGUAAAGCACUUUCAAUUGGGAAGAAAAGUUGGUCGUUAAUAGCGGCCAGCCCUGACAUUACCUUUAGAAGAAGGACCGGCUAACUCCGUGCCAGCAGCCGCGGU
rnacentral:rRNA from 1 species